rnacentral:lncRNA from 1 species
UGACAAUAUGAUAUUGCUUUGUACAAAAAUGGGUAGUGUUUUUCUCACAAAGUCAUAUAGCAACUAACCUAUGCUUUACAAAUCAAAUGCUUUCAAACUUGAGGACAUGAAUUUCAAAGGGAUGUUUUGACGCAUUUACAAAUGGUGUAUCCGUUGAACUAGAAUUUACAUAGUAGUGACUAAGUAUUCGUUGAACUACAAUUUACAUAGUAGUAGCCACUGCUCUAAUUACUCACAGAUAUUUAAUUAAGCUUAGCAUAGUAUCCACUCAGCACGCAACUUGAAUGAUCAUGAAAAUCCAAUACUAAUCAUCUUUGAAUCCCUGCACUCAAAGAAAAAAUGUCAUACUUUUGUAUUACCAAUGGAAAAGGCAAAGUAACACACUCAAAAUUACAUAUUAAAGAAGGAAAGAGAAUGUUUAUCUCACUGAUCAAAAUGAAACAUGCUACAAUAUCAGACAAACGAAAAAUGGGAAAGAAGCAGAGUAGGUCAGUGCAUUCAAACUAUAUGUAUCAGUUUUGUGACACGCGACCCCAUCUAACAGAAUAUCAAGUCAUGUCACUAGGAAAAUGUAUCAGUAAUUUGUAUUAUUGCUUCUAAUCAAUACAUCAUGACCAACAACUUUGAGCUUGUAAAAAGGAAAAGUAGUAUAUGUUAGAUAGCUAGACAUCUUGCCAAAUCAUCAUCACGCUGGUGAGGGCGAGUGAUUCCUAGCUACAAUUUUUUAGUGUCAACCACACUUUUGUUUAAAGAGGGAUGUUCUAAAUUGCAUCAGAACUUGAAGGCACGUCAAUACUGAUUAGUACAACAACAAAUAUCAAGCAGCAGAUGACAUAUUAGAUAUAGGAAUUUAUCUAUUCAUCAACUAAUUAGCAAUUAGCCCUUGAAAAGAAAUCAUAGUAUUUUGGUUUAAUCACAAGCGUCAUGGAAUCACAAGCUAUGAUAUACUUCUCACUAACUAACCAUGCUGAUUCAAUGUAGAUCUUGUACCUAUCACCCAACACAACAAUUUCAAUAUUAAUGACAUAACCAAUAAGUCCAUACCUAACUUUUAAUCGAAGAAAACAAAC